AGAUCGCUCUGCUGAUGAACCGACCCCGUGCCGCCACCGUCGUGGCCCGUGGGCCGCUCAAAUGCGUCAAGCUGGACAGGCCGCAUUUCGAGCGUGUCUUGGGCCCGUGUUCAGACAUCCUCAAACGCAACAUCCAACAGUACAACAGCUUCGUGUCGCUCUCCGUCUGAGAGCCCCACCCUGAAAACCUUUCCCGCAGGGCCCAGCUCAUGUUCAGAGACUCAUUACCGCUUCGUUAAGUCCAGAGCUUUAACGGCUGCUUUCAUCGCCGGACACUUGGAGCCGAAUGAAAGGACAGACAAUCAAACGUUGAUUUCCAUCCUCAUGGCAGCGCCGCUUGUGUUUUCUAUCAGUGAAUGGAGAGCGACUGAUGAAUGAACAGAUGAGUAGAGCUGUUAAUGCUCUCGUAUGAGCUGCUCUAUAUUGUGGACCACUGAUGAUGUUCGAUUUGUCAAUGUUACCCAGAAAAAAAUUAUAAUUUUGGUAUAGAUCGUCCAAAUGGCAGUUUAAGCAAUAAAAAGGUUGUUAUUGAACCAUCAAA